rnacentral:lncRNA from 1 species
UUCUAUUUUCCAUGCUCACAUUGCCUUUUCCUUCAUCUCUUACAAUGUUAUACCAAAUUAAGAUGUUUUGGUAUAUAAAGCGGUUGUAGAAAGAAGAACUAAGGGCUAAAAAGUAUGCGUCAGUGUACUUGCUGUCCGUUGAUGGAACCCCAAGGUAGUUGCUGUCAACUUCCCCUGCCACAUUAAGUAAUAUUCACCGUUGAGUACAAGGAACAGCUAAAACUGAGCUAAUUUUUUUCUCCUGCAAAUUGUACAUUUUAUCAUAGAACCAUCUCCAUCAAAUACACAGUAAGUCAAGUCAUCCUCCCAGAUGAUUGGCGCACAAGUCAUAGCCCAAGUUUCAUGAAACCGAAUUUCAGAAAAAAGAAAUGCAUUAGACCACUAGUGAUGAGCAUUCUUAUCAAUUUGCUGAUGAAUUCCAGAACAAGUGUGUCCUAGAAAGAAAUUAAAUAACAAGAUGGAAAAGGAUAUGGUGUAAACAAAAAGGAAAGGAGAGAUCCAUUCAGGAUAUCUCAUCAAAUCAGAAAAAGUUUGAACUUAAACGUCAAAUUAACAACCCCCCUCCCCAAAAAAAAAAAAAAACCCCCGAACCCGGAAAAAUUUUAAAAGAGGCAAAAAAAUCGCAUUAGAUUCAUUGUAACUGAUAAUGGACCAUUUUAUGCAACUUUUUCAUCAAUUUAUUGUGCUUGUGACCAGGAAAACUUGGCUUUGUUCAAGCAUUAAGUCCUAAAAUAAGUUAAGAAGAUUUAAUCAAGACACUAGUCAUGUUCUACCAAAAAUGGAAAUGAAAUUAGUCAAAAAGGCAGUUUCACUCUGACUAACCGGCAGAGUAUAGGAUAUAUAAUUACAGGGCCAGUUUUAUAAAGCAUCAUUCAGAAUUAGUUUAACAAUUUUCCAGUCUAUAUACAUUAUGUCUCGAUGCUACAACGUCAGAACCAUCAAAUAUAAAACUGUGCAGUUUGUCAUUCUUCUCUGUUGGGUGGUGAGUUAGAAUCUGGAUAGUAUCUAAUCAAGCCUCGUAGACAAGCCUCUCCAUGCAAUAAUCACAUAGUAAAAUGUGCUUUGAGAUAGAACUUAAUUUCUACGCUAAUGUUAACAUGCUAUUCCUUUGUGGUGUGAAAGCAUUUCUAAAUAAUUAGCCAAUGCUGACUAAUUUUCAUAGAUUGCACCCAAAGACAACCAUGGUUUCAUAAAAUUAAAGAGACACCUGUCAGAAGGGCUACUAUAAACCACACAUAUAUGACAAUAACUUGAAAUUUAUACAUUGAAGUACCUUUGAACAGCUGCAAAAAAUGAAUGAGUUACAUAAGACGCCCAACAUAAUGAGCUCGAUGAUAUUUUGAUUUUAGUUG